AUGUUUGCCUGUUCGAUUAGCACCUUUGGCAAAUGUGCAAUCUUUGGGCUGUGGGUGCUCCUCGAGCACAGUAAGCCGUGGGACUUUUUAACGAGCGCUACAAGAAGACACAUUGUGCUGCGCAUCGGACCCGGAAAAAAGCAGGCUACGGAAAAGGUGUGCUAACGGCCGUUUAGUCCAGUGCAUAAUGGAACCCAUUCAACAUAGGCGAGGAAUGUAUUGCCCUUCAAAAAACUGGACAGAGAAGCUCGAAUCGAAGCGGAAAACAGCAUGUUUUUCAACACGACUCAAGCAGGAUUGAGUUUGACAGUUCUUUGUUAUGUGUUGCUGCCCACAAGAUCAGAGCAGGCGUGGUAAGCCCAAGCUGAGGUGAAAAGAUGGCAUGAAGGUGUUUGUCAUUUAAACCAGGAUAACGGAUACGAUGACGGUACGGACUACAAAGCUAUCGAUGAGUCAGAUGGUGUGAAGAAGAUAUCACAACUCACCUUGGCG